UACGGAGUUGGAGACGGGUGAGAUCACGUGGGGGGAUUACUAUGGUUCGGAAUAGCCCAGGGAAACUUGGGGUAAUACCUUUCAAGCCCUUACGGGGAAAGAUUUAUCGCCAUUGGAUGGGCCCGCGUCGGAUUAGCUAGUUGGUGGGGUAACGGCUCACCAAGGCGACGAUCCGUAGCUGGUCUGAGAGGAUGAUCAGCCACACUGGGACUGAGACACGGCCCAGACUCCUACGGGAGGCAGCAGUGGG
rnacentral:rRNA from 1 species